rnacentral:sRNA from 1 species
GUUCAACUUGUGUUCUUCUUUCAUUUGAAAGCAAAUGUGUGAGGGAAUGGGUUAGAAAAGAGUGUGGCCGAAGAGAAUAGUUGAUGGAAUCCGUUUUGGGAACCAAAUGGAAAUCUAUGAAGGGAGCAUCAACUUAAGCUAAGGCUAGGAGACAGUGAACCUCUCAUAAAGAGCAAUGAUAAAAGAAGAUGGAAGAAGAAGGUGGAGCUUGAAGGAUUUUACUCUUGUCCAGAAUCACUUACUAGUCUUCUUCU